AUGUUAGUGACAAUUUUGUGUUGUUGGAUUUGGGCAGCAUUUCAGCAACUUAACAAGAGGAGGAGUGGGAGGUGGUGCAGUCUCUGUGGGCAGCCUGCUGUCGGUGGGAAUAAAGCAGAGCAGAUGCAACCCUUGUAUGCAGCCGAUCACAUUUCCUGGCAGGAUGAGUACAAGCACCAGGAGGAUAUUUGCUAGCCUCAGGACACUGCUGUUGUCCUGAUGCCUAUUCAGACCCUAGCAGAAGUUCGGCACAGCAGGAGUCACCAAACACCAAGUGAGCAAAGUCCAUAAACAGUUGCACAGCAUGGGAAACCCUUACUGAAAAGUUAAGAGACGAGCUGUGAACAUCUGGCAUCACAGGCAGCACUAUGAAUGCUCUGUAUUUGUAUUGCAUCUAUGCACAGCAGUGAUUGCUUAACAGAUUGCUCCAUAGCCUCCUGCCAAGUAAACACCCAGCAGCAGUAAAGGACUUCUGUCAGAGCUUUCCAGGAUAACAGUCCCCAUGCAAUGGAGUAUUGCUGUGGCAGCUUUUCAUCCAGUGACCCUCCUCUCCUGCACAGUGGAGGAGCUACUCUACUCUUCAAGAGCUGAACUUUGUAUUUGACAUAUCAUAUACUUUUGCCACUGUUUACCAACCCCAGACUUGGUUUGUCUGUAAAUA